GUAGGGUGCGAGCGUUGUCCGGAAUUAUUGGGCGUAAAGGGCUCGUAGGCGGUUUGUCGCGUCGGGAGUGAAAACCAGGUGCUUAACACCUGGCUUGCUUUCGAUACGGGCAGACUAGAGGUAUUCAGGGGAGAACGGAAUUCCUGGUGUAGCGGUGAAAUGCGCAGAUAUCAGGAGGAACACCGGUGGCGAAGGCGGUUCUCUGGGAAUGACCUGACGCUGAGGAGCGAAAGUGUGGGGAGCGAACAGGAUUAGAUACCCUGGUAGUCCACACCGUAAACGUUGGGCGCUAGGUGUGGGGUCCAUUCCACGGAUUCCGUGCCGCAGCUAACGCAUUAAGCGCCCCGCCUGGGGAGUACGGCCGCAAGGCUAAA
rnacentral:rRNA from 1 species